rnacentral:rRNA from 1 species
UACGAAGGGUGCAAGCGUUACUCGGAAUUACUGGGCGUAAAGCGUGCGUAGGUGGUUUGUUAAGUCUGCUGUGAAAGCCCCGGGCUCAACCUGGGAAUGGCAAUGGAUACUGGCAAGCUAGAGUGCGGUAGAGGGUAGUGGAAUUCCCGGUGUAGCGGUGAAAUGCGUAGAGAUCGGGAGGAACACCAGUGGCGAAGGCGGCUACCUGGACCAGCACUGACACUGAGGCACGAAAGCGUGGGGAGCAAACAGG